CCUUGAACACCUCUUUGCUUUGUCAACAUCUACUCCAAUUUUCAGUUUUUCCUCCAUGUUGUCUAGCUCUCAUCUACCUUCUAUUCCAAGUGAUUAAUUUCAUGUUUUUUCUCUUUUUCUUAGCAAAUAUGUUUUGCUUCCAUUUUCAAUUCAAAUUGUUUAUUUAAGAUUUCCAAAGCAACUAGCUGGUCAUCAAGCAUCAUUUGGAUCUCCACUAGGACUAGGGCAAAACUCUCGAACGAGACCCGAACAGAACUGAGCAGUUCUUCUUAAAUUAAAUACUUGAACCCAUAUCUGAAUCGAGAAUCGAAGGAUUCGAU
rnacentral:lncRNA from 1 species